rnacentral:rRNA from 1 species
CCUACGGAAGGCAGCAGUGAGGAAUAUUGGUCAAUGGGCGGAAGCCUGAACCAGUCAAGUAGCGUGCAGGAUGACGGCCCUACGGGUUGUAAACUGCUUUUAUACGGGAAUAACGCGCCUUACGUGUAGGGCUUUGCAUGUACCGUAUGAAUAAGGACCGGCUAAUUCCGUGCCAGCAGCCGCGGUAAUACGGAAGGUCCGGGCGUUAUCCGGAUUUAUUGGGUUGAAAGGGAGCGUAGGCCGCAUGUCAAGCGUGCUGUGAAAUGUCCGGGCUCAACCCGGGCCUUGCAGCGCGAACUGGCGUGCUUGAGUCCGCGGAAAGCAGGCGGAAUUCGUCGUGUAGCGGUGAAAUGCUUAGAUAUGACGAAGAACCCCGAUUGCGAAGGCAGCUUGCUGCAGCGGAACUGACGCUGAUGCUCGAAAGCGCGGGUAUCGAACAGGAUUAGAUACCCUUGUAGUC